rnacentral:lncRNA from 1 species
GUGAAAUUACGAGGAAAAGACACACAUCGGACCCAGCCUCGCGUGCCUCCCCUCUCUGCUGCCGAGGGUUUCUCAGGGCGACCGUGCCCUUGGCUGGCCGUGGACCGUGGGCUGGAAAGACGGGCAGAAUCGAGGCCCGCAGUUGUAGGGCCACGGCCAGUCCACGGUAUCCUCCAGCCCAUGGGCACCAAGGCUGGUGGGGAAGUGGACGUGGGAAAGACGCAUCUAGUCGACCGACCUAAUCUGGCGACAGCAAAAGCUUUGAGGGUCCAACCCACCCACUCACAGACCGUCAUUCUUUGCAUUCUUCCAACGCACUUGGGGGCUGUGUCUAUAAACUAGUGGCCUCUGUGCUUGUGUCCUGUGUCCUUUCUGAUCACUGAAACAUGAUGAGCAUAGUCAGAAAACAGGUCCAAAUAACAUGUUUUGGUGGGCAUAGUGACACACACCUGCAAUCCCAGCACUUUGGGAAACUGAGUCAGGAAGAUCAUUCAUUCAAGUCCAGCCUGGGCAACGGAGACCCUGUCUCAGACAGAAGAUUGUUU